CAAGAGAGAAAACCCUAACGCCACUGUGGCUCCCUCAUUCUCUCUCAUAGUCACCCUUACCAUUUUAGGAAAAAUCAGACUGGUACCAUGCUUUUGCAGAAUUUGUACAACCAAUUCGAGUAGGCAUUAAUUGCUUCUCACCUAUUUCUACUAAAACUCAACCAAACUAGGUAUAAUCUUCUUUUUUUCCUUUUCUUUUCUACAUAAUAAGGUCAAAUGAGUUGAAAACUUCAAUGGUUUUUAUAUGUAUUCAUUUUUGAACUCUCGAUUUUCAUUGAUUGUUGUUGGUUUGAGAAAUCCCCCCCCCCCCCCCCCCCCCAAAAAAAAAUCACAAUCCCCCAUCGAAAAUUAGGGUUUUAUUCACACACACGUCUUGUUUACAACACAAAGACUUGAUUUCGUAGGGAUUUAGCAUUAAUUGCUGAAACCUUUACCUAAUCAAGUCAUUUUAGUCUAAAUUUUCUUUCUUGUUUGCGGCUGAGCAUUGGAGUGAAGGAAUUAUGGUUUUCCAAGUCCAUUCUCGAUCAAAAUGCUGCAUAGAGAAGAGACACAAGAAAAUUGCGUUAAGCUUGGUGGUUGAUUGAAGAGGAGAUUACAAGUCUUGAGAUACAGGUUGACGGCCCACUCAGUAGGAUACCAGCUCAGCAGACAGUGUUAUUGCACUCCACUUGUUUCGAAGUUGCCAUGUCAGUCAGAAUGAUUAUAUGUAUGCACAUGUAUGAGUAUGGCGGGUCCCUGUCUCGACUACGUUAUGUCAUGUAUUCUAGUAGAGGCUUGUAGACAAUUAUGUACAGUAAAAUAUUGUAUGGCAUUGUCAGCUUAUGUACUAUUGCAUAGUUGUAUAUGACGGCCCUGUCGGCACAUCCAGUAUGUCCAGCUUGUUGUGUAGCUAUGUCCUAUCAGACUUGUUUUAUUUCUGUCUAUCA